CCUACGGGGGGCAGCAGUGGGGAAUAUUGGACAAUGGGCGCAAGCCUGAUCCAGCUAUGCCGCGUGAGUGAUGAAGGCCUUCGGGUUGUAAAGCUCUUUCGGUGGGAAAGAUGAUGACGGUACCCACAGAAGAAGCCCCGGCUAACUUCGUGCCAGCAGCCGCGGUAAUACGAAGGGGGCAAGCGUUGUUCGGAAUCACUGGGCGUAAAGGGCGCGUAGGCGGAUCUUUAAGUCAAGGGUGAAAUCCCGGAGCUCAACUCCGGAACUGCCUUUGAUACUGAGGAUCUUGAGUUCGAGAGAGGUUGGUGGAACUGCGAGUGGAGAGGUGAAAUUCGUAGAUAUUCGCAAGAACACCAGUGGCGAAGGCGGCCAACUGGCUCGAGACUGACGCUGAGGCGCGAAAGCGUGGGGAGCAAACAGGAUUAGAUACCCUAGUAGUC
rnacentral:rRNA from 1 species